GCCCCACUAGCCCAAUGGCUAGGGCGUCAGACUUCUAUUAUGAAAUCUGGAGGUUGCGGGUUCGAGUCCCGCGUGGGGUU